UACGAGGGGGGCAAGCGUUGUUCGGAAUUAUUGGGCGUAAAGGGCGCGUAGGCGGUGCGGUAAGUCUGUUGUGAAAUCUCCGGGCUCAACUCGGAGUCUGCAUCAGAAACUGCCGUGCUCGAGUGUGGGAGAGGUGAGUGGAAUUCCCGGUGUAGCGAUGAAAUGCGUAGAUAUCGGGAGGAACACCUGCGGCGAAAGCGGCUCACUGGACCACAACUGACGCUGAGGCGCGAAAGCUAGGGGAGCAAACAGG
rnacentral:rRNA from 1 species